rnacentral:rRNA from 1 species
CGCAGCUAUCUGCAGUCGGACGGGAUUGAGGAGCUUGCUCUUCAUGAGAGUGGCGCACGGGUGCGUAACACGUAUGUAACCUACCUUCGUCAGGGGGAUAGCCUCUCGAAAGAGAGAUUAAGACCGCAUAACAUUAUUGAAUGGCAUCAUUUAAUAAUCAAAUAUUUAUAGGACGAAGAUGGGCAUGCGGAACAUUAGCUAGUUGGUAAGGUAACGGCUUACCAAGGCUACGAUGUUUAGGGGAUCUGAGAGGAUGACCCCCCACACUGGUACUGAGACACGGACCAGACUCCUACGGGAGGCAGCAGUAAGGAAUAUUGGUCAAUGGACGGAAGUCUGAACCAGCCAUGCCGCGUGCAGGAAGACGGCCCUACGGGUUGUAAACUGCUUUUGCAGGGGAAUAAACCUCAUUACGUGUAAUGAGCUGAAUGUACUCUGAGAAUAAGGAUCGGCUAACUCCGUGCCAGCAGCCGCGGUAAUACGGAGGAUCCAAGCGUUAUCCGGAUUUAUUGGGUUUAAAGGGUGCGUAGGUGGCCUGUUAAGUCAGGGGUGAAAGACGGUAGCUUAACUAUCGCAGUGCCCUUGAUACUGAUGGGCUUGAAUGAACUAGAGGUAGGCGGAAUGUGACAAGUAGCGGUGAAAUGCAUAGAUAUGUCACAGAACACCAAUUGCGAAGGCAGCUUACUAUGGUUUUAUUGACACUGAGGCACGAAAGCGUGGGGAUCAAACAGGAUUAGAUACCCUGGUAGUCCACGCCCUAAACGAUGAAUACUCGAUGUUGGCGAUAUACGGUCAGCGCCUAAGCGAAAGCGUUAAGUAUUCCACCUGGGGAGUACGCCCGCAAGGGUGA